rnacentral:rRNA from 1 species
UACGGAGGGAGCUAGCGUUGUUCGGAAUUACUGGGCGUAAAGCGCGCGUAGGCGGCUUUGUAAGUUAGAGGUGAAAGCCCGGAGCUCAACUCCGGAACUGCCUUUAAAACUGCAUCGCUUGAAUCCAGGAGAGGUGAGUGGAAUUCCGAGUGUAGAGGUGAAAUUCGUAGAUAUUCGGAAGAACACCAGUGGCGAAGGCGGCUCACUGGGCCGAUACUGACGCUGAGGAGCGAAAGCGUGGGGAGCGAACAGG